GUACGCCUAAAGCGAACGUAAGCCGAGCAGAACAGCGCCGUUAAUCUAUUUGCUGCAGGAGCUGCCACUCAGAGUCCUGUAUCCCACUCACGCACGAGGGCGGUGCUUGAAGAUGAGUCAGUCUUUGCUCGCGGCCAUUUCGGAUGUGAGACGAGGGAGUUGUUAAGGUUGUUGCACCCAGUGCGGGCUGGAGGAUUCCCCAACUUCGAUCGGAGGUGCAGAUUACUCUCGGCAGCCACAGGUUGGGCGCUGGGGAUAACGUUUACAUGAAUAAGAGACUUUUUAAGCAAGGGUACAGUUAUUAAGUGUACUGGUGUGAUACUGGGAGUACCCCAAGAGGCACCACUCAGAGCGUGCUGUCCGCCUCCUUGAUCGAAGACAACAAAAGACGAAUAUCUACCCUGGGAGAAAACCUAAAGGGACUAUGUUUGGAAGAGCAGGGGCAGGAGGAAAAAGAAGAGAAGGAUUCACUAGAGGGCGUUAUUUCAGCAAGAAAGGGAGAAGGGAUCAAAGGAAAGGAGAAGUGGGGGAGAGGGGCAGUUGGAAAUUGAAGAAGGCAAAGCUUGUUGGGUACAGGAGGAGGAUGAAAGAAAGAAGGACUGGGUGUAAAUAGUACAAGACGACCCCCAGACAGGGGAGUGGACAGAGUUUAGGGUCCCUAGGCAGUAUGCCGAAAAGGAAUGGAAGAAAAAGUCUACAGAAAGACAUCUUAUUGGGGCAAGAAGGAAAAGAGAAAGAAGGAAAAGGUUUAGAGAGUGGCAGCAGAAGGAGGCCCAGAGGCAAGACAACAAGCCAUGUACAGAUCCUCCUGGGAAACCCUGUGGGGCGAAUCCAUUUCGAAUGAGGUUGAGGCAAAAUCCGGGCAAGAAAGUUUGGGAACCACAGGUGGGGUGGGUUUUCCACCCUCCCCAAUAAGGUUAAUAGGUGUACCCAAUAGAUCAGGCAUUCCACAGAAAUGGUGUUAUAGAGAUUUAAGUUCCUCCCUACUGCCGUUAAAAGGGGAUUUGUUAUGGUUUGAUGGAAAAGGAGAAAACGACAUGUCCCUGAAGCAGGAGAUGGAAUCUGUU